GACGUAGGGCGCGAGCGUUGUCCGGAUUUAUUGGGCGUAAAGAGCUCGUAGGCGGCUCGUUGCGUCGGCUGUGAAAACCCGCAGCUCAACUGUGGGCUUGCAGCUGAUACGGGCGGGCUGGGAUUCGGUAGGGGAGACUGGAAUUCCUGGUGUAGCGGUGAAAUGCGCAGAUAUCAGGAGGAACACCGGUGGCGAAGGCGGGUCUCUGGGCCGCAACUGACGCUGAGGAGCGAAAGCAUGGGGAGCGAACAGG
rnacentral:rRNA from 1 species